rnacentral:rRNA from 1 species
AUUGAACGCUGGCGGCAGGCCUAACACAUGCAAGUCGAGCGGAUGAAGGGAGCUUGCUCCUGGAUCCAGCGGCGGACGGGUGAGUAAUGCCUAGGAAUCUGCCUGGUAGUGGGGGAUAACGUCUGGAAACGGGCGCUAAUACCGCAUACGACCUGAGGGUGAAAGUGGGGGAUCUUCGGACCUCACGCUAUCAGAUGAGCCUAGGUCGGAUUAGCUAGUUGGUGGGGUAAAGGCCUACCAAGGCGACGAUCCGUAACUGGUCUGAGAGGAUGAUCAGUCACACGGGAACUGGGACACGGUCCAGACUCCUACGGGAGGCAGCAGUGGGGAAUAUUGGACAAUGGGCGAAAGCCUGAUCCAGCCAUGCCGCGUGUGUGAAGAAGGUCUUCGGAUUGUAAAGCACUUUAAGUUGGGAUGAAGGGCAGUAAGUUAAUACCUUGCUGUUUUGACGUUACCAACAGAAUAAGCACCGGCUAACUUCGUG